rnacentral:rRNA from 1 species
GACGAACGCUGGCGGCGUGCUUAACACAUGCAAGUCGAACGGAAAGGCCCUGCUUUUGUGGGGUGCUCGAGUGGCGAACGGGUGAGUAACACGUGAGUAACCUGCCCUUGACUUUGGGAUAACUUCAGGAAACUGGGGCUAAUACCGGAUAGGAGCUCCUGCUGCAUGGUGGUGGUUGGAAAGUUUCGGCGGUUGGGGAUGGACUCGCGGCUUAUCAGCUUGUUGGUGGGGUAGUGGCUUACCAAGGCUUUGACGGGUAGCCGGCCUGAGAGGGUGACCGGCCACAUUGGGACUGAGAUACCGCCCAGACGCCUACGGGAGGCAGGAGUGGGGAAUAGUGCACGAUGGGCGGAAGGCUGAAGCAGCAACGCCGCGUGCGGGAUGACGGCCUUCGGGUUGGAAACCGCUUUCGCCUGUGACGAAGCGUGAGUGACGGUAAUGGGUAAAGAAGCACCGGCUAACUACGUG